rnacentral:lncRNA from 1 species
ACGAAUAUAACACAUUGCAUUAUUUACUGUUGAUGUGGAUGGACCAAAGCGACCCCAAUAGCCCUAUUUAUGAUAUGUUAAUGAAGUCCUGAGGAGCCCCUUUGAGGGCCGGGCAUAAUGAAGUCUUGAGGAGCCCGAAGGGCCGGGCAUAAUGAAGUCCUGAGGAGUCCGAAGGGCCGGGCACCAUGUUAUGUUACAGAUAGAGGGAGUUUUGGUGGUCAUGUCCAUCCGUUAUGUGAAAUGUUUGUGCUGUGACGCAUUCCAUGAUAGCAUAUGAUUAUUAUUGUGCAUUGUUUCUACUCACUGGGC